rnacentral:rRNA from 1 species
CCUACGGGAGGCAGCAGUAGGGAAUCUUCCGCAAUGGACGAAAGUCUGACGGAGCAACGCCGCGUGAGCGAUGAAGGCCUUCGGGUCGUAAAGCUCUGUUGUCAGGGAAGAACAAGUACCGGAGUAACUGCCGGUACCUUGACGGUACCUGACCAGAAAGCCACGGCUAACUACGUGCCAGCAGCCGCGGUAAUACGUAGGUGGCAAGCGUUGUCCGGAAUUAUUGGGCGUAAAGCGCGCGCAGGCGGUUCCUUAAGUCUGAUGUGAAAGCCCCCGGCUCACCGGGGAGGGUCAUUGGAAACUGGGGAACUUGAGUGCGAAGAGGAGAGCGGAAUUCCACGUGUAGCGGUGAAAUGCGUAGAGAGUGGGAGGAACACCAGUGGCGAAGGCGGCUCUCUGGUCUGUAACUGACGCUGAGGCGCGAAAGCGUGGGGAGCGAACAGGAUUAGAUACCCUGGUAGUCCACGCCGUAAACGAUGAGUGCUAAGUGUUAGAGGGUUUCCGCCCUUUAGUGCUGCAGCAAACGCAUUAAGCACUCCGCCUGGGGAGUACGGCCGCAAGGCUGAAACUCAAAGGAAUUGACGGGGGCCCGCACAAGCGGUGGAGCAUGUGGUUUAAUUCGAAGCAACGCGAAGAACCUUAC